GACAGAGGUGCCAAGCGUUAGGCGGAAUCACUGGGCUUAAAGCGUGUGUAGGCGGACUUGUAAGUACCUUGUGAAAUCCCACGGCUCAACCGUGGAACUGCUCGGUAUACUGCUUGUCUUGAGCCACUUAGGGGCUGUCGGAACAAACGGUGGAGCGGUGAAAUGCGUUGAGAUGUGAAGGAACACCAAUGGCGAAAGCACUAGUCUGGACGGAGACUGACGCUGAGAUACGAAAGCCAAGGGAGCGAACAGG
rnacentral:rRNA from 1 species